GUUGAUGUAGCUUAAAUAAAGCAAAGCACUGAAAAUGCUUAGAUGAGUAACCUUACUCCAUAAACA
rnacentral:tRNA from 1 species